rnacentral:rRNA from 1 species
CCUACGGGUGGCUGCAGUGGGGGAUAUUGCACAAUGGGGGGAACCCUGAUGCAGCGACGCCGCGUGGGUGAAGGAGCGUUUCGGCGCGUAAAGCCCUAUCGGCAGGGAAGAAGAUGACGGUACCUGACCAAGAAGCCCCGGCUAACUACGUGCCAGCAGCCGCGGUAAUACGGGGGAUGCGAGCGUUAUCCGGAUUUAUUGGGUUUAAAGGGUGCGUAGGCGGUCCGUUAAGUCAGCGGUAAAAUUGCGGGGCUAAACCCCGUCGAGCCGUUGAAACUGGCAGACUUGAGUUGGCGAGAAGUACGUGGAAUGCGCGGUGUAGCGGUGAAAUGCAUAGAGAUCGCGCAGAACGCCGAUUGCGAAGGCAGCGUACCGGCGCCAGACUGACGCUGAGGCACGAAAGUGUGGGGAUCGAACAGGAUUAGAUACCCUUGUAGUC